AACUAAACAGAGCUAAUUGGUUUUGUUUGCUUAAGAGAAAGGGGUUUCCCAUUUGUAGAGAACUGUUUGCAGUUCUCUAUAGGAGGGGCUACAGGGUUAUAUAAUCUCAAGGCAGAACUGCUGAGAGCUUAGAUUGGGUUACACUGUGCACAAGAUACUAGGAAAUCCGGCACGAGGAAACAUGUCUGGAAAACCCAAGCUGCACUACUUCAAUGGACGAGGCCGGAUGGAACCAAUUCGGUGGCUACUGGCUGCAGCUGGGGUUGAGUUUGAAGAAUCUUACCUAG